CGGAGGCUUCACCCUCCGCUCCACAGGGUCGGUAGCAGGGCGGGGCGUCCGGAAGCUCCGCCCCACGCGUUCCCGGGUCGCAUGCGACGUGGGGCGGAGCGGGAGGCGGGGCGUUUGGAAGCUCCGCCCGCCGCACUGCAGAGUCGGCCGAGGCGCACGAGGUAUUUUUCACGCUCCGCCCCACUGCAGGCUAAAGUGCGUGAGCGGGAAUUGGUGGGCAGGGUGCCAUCUGGCUCCGCCCUUCUCCUGUGGUGUGGGCCGGGCCGCGGGCUCCUCCUCCUGCAGCAGCCACAGGCCCCACCCUGAUCCUUCUCCCGCGGCUCCAUCUCCGUGCGCGUCCCCAGUCAGUACCCACCGCCUCCCGACGCACCCGCUGGCUCCAAGCCUCCCUACCCCAGGUUUCCCGGCUAAGAGAGAGACAGAGGGAGAGAGGGGGAAGAGAGAGAACAGGCAAUGGGAGGUUGAUGGUGAGAACUUAUUGAAAGACAAGAGGGAGGAAACCUACAUCCUUCAUUCCCCAUCCAUUCAUUUAUUGCCUUAUUUAUUCCAUUGAAUCUUCACAGCUCUAGGAAAAGGGUGCUACAAUUAUUCCCUUUAUUAAAUGAGGUCACUGAGGCACAGAUAGUUUAAGAAAUUUGCCAGCGGGGCACAGUGGCUCUCCGGUAAUCCCAGAACUUUGAGAGGCCGAGGAAGGUGGAUACUUUGAGCCCAGGAGUUGGAGACUAGCCUAGCCAGCAUGGCGAGACCCCGUUUCUACAAAAAUUAGCCAAAAUUAGCCAAACUGGCUCACGCUUGUAGUCCCAGGUACUCGAGAGGCUGAGGCCGGAGGAGCGCGUGAGCCCAGGAGGCAGUGGCUGCACUAAGCCGUGAUUGUGCCACUGCACUCCAGCCUGGGCAACAGAGUAAGACCCUGUCUCGAAAAAAAACGAAAAAAAGAACUGGCCGGGAGUGGUGGCUCAUGCCUGUAAUCCCAGCACUUUGGGAGGCCGAGGCGGUCGGAUCACAAGAUCAGAAGUUCGAGACCAGCCUAGCCAACAUGGGGAAACCCCAUCUCUACUAAAAAUACAAAAAUCAGCCGGGCAUGGUGACAGGCACCUGUAAUCCCAGCUACUCGGGAGCCUGAGGCAGUAGAAUCGCUUGAACCUGGGAGGCAGAGGUUGCAGUGAGCCGAGGUUGCGCCACUGCACUCCAGCCUGGGCAACAGAGCAAGACUCCGUCUCAAA
rnacentral:lncRNA from 1 species